GCAGGCAUGCCCCGAAAACCAGGCCAGGACCGGAAGG
rnacentral:SRP_RNA from 9 species